rnacentral:piRNA from 1 species
UGAGAAUAGCAGGAGGAACAAACACG